rnacentral:snRNA from 1 species
GUGCUCAAUUCAGCAGCACAUGUACUAAAACUGGAAUUGUAGGAAAAAAAUUACCAUGGCCCUGCACAAGAAAGCAUGAAAAUUCAUGAAGUUUUUCAUAUUUUA